rnacentral:rRNA from 1 species
CUGGCGGUNGCCUACACAUGCUUNCCUAACGGCAGCACAGGUAAGCUUGCUCUCNGGGUGGCGAGUGGCGGACGGGUGAGGAAUGCAUCGGAAUCUACUCUUUCGUGGGGGAUAACGUAGGGAAACUUACGCUAAUACCGCAUACGACCUACGGGUGAAAGCCGGGGACCUUCGGGCCUGGCGCGAAAGAAUGAGCCGAUGCCCGAUUAGCUAGUUGGCGGGGUAAGAGCCCACCAAGGCGACGAUCGGUAGCUGGUCUGAGAGGAUGAUCAGCCACACUGGAACUGAGACACGGUCCAGACUCCUACGGGAGGCAGCAGUGGGGAAUAUUGGACAAUGGGCGCAAGCCUGAUCCAGCCAUACCGCGUGGGUGAAGAAGGCCUUCGGGUUGUAAAGCCCUUUUGUUGGGAAAGAAAAGCAGUCGGUUAAUACCCGAUUGUUCUGACGGUACCCAAAGAAUAAGCACCGGCUAACUUCGUGCCAGCAGCCGCGGUAAUACGAAGGGUGCAAGCGUUACUCGGAAUUACUGGGCGUAAAGCGUGCGUAGGUGGUUGUUUAAGUCUGUCGUGAAAGCCCUGGGCUCAACCUGGGAAUUGCGAUGGAAACUGGGCGACUAGAGUGUGGCAGAGGGUAGUGGAAUUCCUGGUGUAGCAGUGAAAUGCGUAGAGAUCAGGAGGAACAUCCGUGGCGAAGGCGACUGCCUGGGCC